rnacentral:rRNA from 1 species
UACGGAGGAUGCAAGCGUUAUCCGGAAUGAUUGGGCGUAAAGCGUCCGCAGGUGGCAAUGUAAGUCUGCUGUUAAAGAGUCUAGCUCAACUAGAUAAGAGCAGUGGAAACUACAUAGCUAGAGUACGUUCGGGGCAGAGGGAAUUCCUGGUGUAGCGGUGAAAUGCGUAGAGAUCAGGAAGAACACCGGUGGCGAAGGCGCUCUGCUAGGCCGUAACUGACACUGAGGGACGAAAGCUAGGGGAGCGAAUGGG